UUGCCUGAGUAACGGCGAGUGAAGCGGCAACAGCUCAGAUUUGAAAUCUGGCUCCGUGUCUUGGGGCCCGAGUUGUAGUCUGCAGAGGAUGCUUCCAGGUGGCGCUGGGACCCCAAGUCCUGUGGAAUCAGGGCGCCAGAGAGGGUGAGAGCCCCGUCUAGGGUCCCAGUUGCUGCUGCUCCGUGUAGCUCCUUCGACGAGUCGAGUUGUUUG
rnacentral:rRNA from 1 species